rnacentral:rRNA from 1 species
AUUGAACGCUGGCAGCAUGCUUUACACAUGCAAGUCGAACGGUAACAGGCCUUCGGGUGCUGACGAGUGGCGAACGGGUGAGUAAUGCAUCGGAACGUACCCAGAGGUGGGGGAUAACGCAGCGAAAGCUGUGCUAAUACCGCAUGUGAUCUGAGGAUGAAAGCGGGGGACCGAGCAGCAAUGUUUGGCCUCGCGCCUUUGGAGCGGCCGAUGUCGGAUUAGCUAGUUGGUGGGGUAAAGGCCUACCAAGGCGACGAUCCGUAGCUGGUCUGAGAGGACGACCAGCCACACUGGGACUGAGACACGGCCCAGACUCCUACGGGAGGCAGCAGUGGGGAAUUUUGGACAAUGGGCGCAAGCCUGAUCCAGCAAUGCCGCGUGCGGGAAGAAGGCCUUCGGGUUGUAAGCCGCUUUUGGCAGGAACGAAACGGUGUCCGCUAAUACCGGGCGCUAAUGACGGUACCUGCAGAAUAAGCACCGGCUAACUACGUG